GAGCAUCAGGCACGCAGCUGGGGCUCGGUGUUAAAGGGAGGCUGAGCUGCAGCAGGGCGGUGCUGGGCUGCGUGCGGGAUGUGGCUCUGCUUGCCUUGUGUCUCAGCUGAGGUGACUCCAGCAAGGCUGGGGUACUUCUGCUUCCCAGAGGUGACAAAUCCAAAUGUGGCCAAGCAUGCGCUGAUGGAUCGUUCAACUGCAGCCUGAGACGAGCUGGUGAAGGCCGGUAAUGGGCAGGGUGCUCCUCACCGGGCUGGCUGGGGGCUGCAGAAUGGCACGGGUUUCCCACAGCAAUGUUUAACUUGUACCUCUCUGGCAAGAGGCACAGCCUGUGACAAGCCCGUGACAGCCCCAUACUGCUGGCUACAGCGAGGGCAGGGAGAAGCAGUGGGUGGAGAGACCGAACAGAUGGCUCGGGCAGGAGCAGCGAGUGCCACCGCCGUGCUGCUGAUUCGUCUGAUGCCGGGCUGAUGCAACGCCUGCACCUGACAGAGGAAUUUUAUAAAGUGCUACAACGUUCUAGAAAUUUCUGCAGCAACCCCGGGAGUGCUUUGGAGACCAAAGGUAAUAUUUCACCUGCCUGCUUCUCCCAUCUUCCCGUCAGAUCAGCUCUGAGUGGCUCCUAUGAAAUGCAGCCCAAUGUGAAGCACUGAGUAUCUAUUUUCAAAAGCAUAAGGGGUGAAAGCUGAACUGCAGCCUUGUCCUACUUGGAACGAAGCCACCAGGCUGUGUCUUCCUGGGAAAAACAACCAGGAAUAAAGUCUAAAUAAGAACAGGAAGAUGAGGGGAAACCAUCUCCAAUGAGGGGUGUGCACAGGCAGCAGCAGCAGUCCCCUCGCGCCCAACAGCUGAGAUGCCUUCUGGAUCCCCAACAGAAACACACACAGCCUGUUCCCUUUAACAAUCAGUUUAUUGCACUGUUUUUAUUCAAUUUAUUUUUUUUAUAUUUCUCAGCUUGCUUCCAAAUUCAUUGUUAAGAUCUGUCUUUUCACUUCACUAGCAUAAAACUUCCACAAGCAUCUGUCUGAAAGUAGCCAGUUGGCCCUGGCUGAGGCUGACGAAUCCAGCACAUGGCGUGGUCUGAGAGCAAACAAAGCACUUGCAGACAGCCUCGUGGGAAGGAGCCCCAAGGACGUGGGGCUGGGGGGUGCCCCAGUGCAGCUUCCAGGUGAGCGAGCGGUGAGGCUGUGCUGUGGUUCUGGAAGUCUUGGCAGGGGCAAAGCAGGACUUGCAGAUUCAUCUGCUCCCCCACUGGCUGCACAGCACCAAGGUGCUCACACCAAGUGUCACCAUCUGACCUGGUAGGCACCCAGCAGGUAAGCUGUCCUGGGGCAGGGGCAGACGCUUCAUCUAGUCCUUGGGGCGGGUGUUAAAAAUCUGGCAGGUCUGGAAAAAAGCCUGCACAGAAUAGCUGCAAUCUGGGCUUAUUCCCAGAUUCUUAAAUCACUUAAAUAACUAAACCAAGGCUGGCUGUUUUCUUAAAAACACUCUCACGGCUCAACAGUGAGAAUUAAGUGGCACAAUUCAUUUGGCCAGUUUUUGCAAACUGUAAGGGAAGAGCCUUGGUAUUUCUAUGGGGAUAUGGGGAUGCCAUUCUUGUCAACAAUACUGGUGAGGAAUUACUGGAAAUGCAUUUAACUCUUGUUUUUAGUAUCAGUUAGUAUCGGACAAAGAUUUCUGAUGUACCCAAAACUAAUGCCUCUCCUGGAAGGUUAAGGCCAGAGAAGAACUUUCAUUUCAGGCUGGGAGAUGACUUUCCAGGUGUGAACUGGACAGAGCACUGCAGUUGUGUGGGGAGUCAGAAGUGUGCGUGUCAGGUGCUGAAAGGGCAUCACCCAACAAGCAAGUGCUGGGAAGGAGUUUCUGGAAAAACACUUUGUAUGGAAGAAACAAAUGUGCUGUGACCCUUGGAUUUCCUCCAACACCAUGUGCAGAGAAGUACAAGCCUGAAGGAAUCAGGGUAAGGGUAAGGUACCCACCUCAUUUUCAUACACUUUAAAAAAAAAAAAGGGAAAAAAAACUUUUGCCCAUGGGCAAGGUGUCUCAGCCAGUACCCCAGCCCACGCAAUGGUUUUCCCUGGAAUUAAUCAGGGCCUAAAUGUCAGGAUUUCAGUAAGUGAGAACUAUCCUGGUGGUUCUCUUUCCUCUGCCAGCUGCUGUGCAGGUCUGUCAAGCAGGAGAUGCCUCUUGUGUGCCAGCCUGCAGCACUCUGCUCUCCUGGUGCUGCAGCUUCUCCAGCAGGAGCAGGACGUUGUCAGUGAACUCAUUCCGCGGCCUCCCCAUCCCACGAAGCUUCACAGGCUGCAAGCUGGCGUGGGGAGGCUCGUACAGCUGAGGGCAGCAGACCUCGUUCAGGAGGAGCCAGGUGCUGUCAGGGUCCACAUGCAUUAAGUGGAGGAAAACACUUCAGAAAACAAGGGGAAGAAAGGAAAGAGUAAGGAGAAGCCCUUUUGAUUUGCGCCCAAGAGGGUCAUUAUAGGCAGCUACGCAAAGCUUUGGCAUUGUCUGCAGCCUCUGACAAUUGAUAGAUUUGGAGGCUCAUUAGACAGAGUCAUUAAGAUGGUUCCUGUGCCCAAGAGACAGCUCAGUGGUUUCAAUCCACCACUGAGUGACAGGAAAUAGUUCUUAUGCUGCACAGCACAUUAUUGGCCUCAAUACAAAGCUGGUGAAUAACUGACCCGGGCUUUGGUCUCAGCAUCACGCGAGGGGGUGCUAAACUCAGAGGGUCACAUCUUCUGUGGGUGAGACUUGUGCUUGCAGAGCCUGCCUGUCAUUUCCAGAGGAAUACAACCUGAACGUGCUCCAACGUGAUCGCUGUGUUUGGCAACAGCAUAAAACGCCUUCUUUGUGGUGCACAGCCAGGCCCAGCGGAAACGCCCUGGUCUUCAGCCUCGUCUCAGUCUGGAGAGAGCAACCCUCGAGAGGUUAGCUGCUCGCUGGAGAACCCCACGGCCCCUUGUGCCCAUAAGGGCCUGAGGUGUGUGAUUAUCUCCCGCUAACCCGGAGAGCUAUGCAGCUUAGAGAGCAACUUGACUUUAACAUUUCCAAACUAACUCUUGGACAGUUCCUAAGCAACCUGUUUCCAUGGCAAAGAAACCUGGGGUUAAUCCAGGUUUGUUUUCUGUUUUGGCUUUUUUUUUU